GCAUUACUAAUAACAUAGAAAAUAAUACUAAUUGUAUUAGUGUAGCCGUAAGUCGAAUAGAUAUAAAAUACUAAUAGCUCGUAAUUUAUAACAGAAGAAUCGUAGUAAAACAACAAAUGGUUUAUGUCAUGGCAUUUUUUUGGGUGUACUUUCUCCUUGUGAGUUUAUAUUUGACCAUCCUUGCAAUCUUGUAGAACCAGUAAGCACUCACCAACUGUAAUCCCAUUGCCAUGACCUAAUUCCAAAAUUCCAAAAAAAAAUCACUUAACAGUGAACAAAAUAAUGAAAUAAAUUAUACAAUAUUAAAUAAUUAUUUCGCAAGGAUAAAUAAAUUUGGAAAAAAACACCUUUAUUAGAAGGGGAUUAUUGGGAGCCGACAGUGUGACGAAUGUGAGAUAAGGGCCCACUACCAUUCUUGCGAAUGAGAAA
rnacentral:lncRNA from 1 species